UACGGGGGGGCAAGCGUUGUUCGGAAUUACUGGGCGUAAAGGGCUCGUAGGUGGCCAACUAAGUCAGACGUGAAAUCCCUCAGCUUAACUGGGGAACUGCGUCUGAUACUGGAUGGCUUGGAUUCGGGAGAGGGAUGCGGAAUUCCAGGUGUAGCGGUGAAAUGCGUAGAUAUGUGGAGGAACACCUGUGGCGAAGGCGCCUUGCUGGCCAAAUUUCUGACGCUGAGGCGACGAAAGCGUGGGGGAGCAAAACAGG
rnacentral:rRNA from 1 species